AUAAAAAUUUUAUGAUUUAAAGAUUUUAAUUUAAAUUUAUUUUACAUGUAAAUUUUAGUGUUAAUUUUUGAUUAUUUAAAUAAUAAUUGAAUUUUAUUUACAGUAAUUAAAUUUAAAAACUUAAGUAAUUAAGGUUUAGUAAUAUAAAAAUUAAUAACAAAUUUUGUGCCAGCAGUUGCGGUUAUACAAAAAUUGAAUUAAAAAUUUUUAGUAAAUAAUAAAUAAUUAAUAUUUUAAUUUAAAUAUUAAAUUAUUAGGUGAAAUUUUAAUUUAAUUAAAAAUUAUUUAAUUUUUAAUAGUUAGUAAAUUUUAAUAUAAACUAGGAUUAGAUACCCUAUUAUUAAAAAUUUAUUUAAUAAUGCUAAAAUAGUAUAUAAUUAUUUAUUGAAACUUAAAUAAUUUGGCGGUAUUUUAGUUAAUUUAGAGGAAUCUGUUUAUUAAUUGAUAAACCACGAUUAAAUUUACUUAAUUUAUAAUUUUGUAUAUCAUUGUUAAAAAAAUAUUUUUUAAUAAAAAUAAUAUUUAAAAAUUUAAAUAAAAAAUUAGUUCAAAUCAAGAUGCAGAUAAUAAUUAAGAAUAUAAUGGAUUACAAUAAAAAUAUUUAAAUGGAUUUUUUUUUUUAAUAAAAAAAAUAAAAGUGGAUUUAAAUGUAAUUUUAUUUAAUUAAAUAAAAUGAUUAAAAAUUAAAAUAUGUACAUAUUGCCCGUCGCUUUCAUUUAAAAGUUGAAAUAAGUCGUAACAAAGUAGAGGUACUGGAAAGUGUUUCUAGAAAGA
rnacentral:ncRNA from 1 species